AGAGCCACCUAAGCUGAAGAUUCCCUUGAGAACAAGUACUGUCCUGCGGUUUCAUGGCCUUUCUUCCAUUUGUGGUUCUUGCGAAGUGGAAUUUAAAUGACAUCUUAUCAAGAUGGAUAAACCCUAGUUUCCCAGUGCUGGAAUAUAGAAAAUGGAUGGACAAGUAAAUCCCACUCAGCACCCAUAGUCCAGCUGGACCUACCAUGAAAGACUUCUGAAUCCAGGAAGAGAAACUGGCUGGGCAACAUGUUAUUCAGAAACAGGACCUUGCCCUGUCACUCAGGAUGGAGUUCAGUGGUCCUAUCAUGGCUCAUUAUAGCCUCAAACUCCCAGGCUCAAGCAAUCCUACCAUGUCAGCCUUCCCAGUAGCUGGGACUACAGAAAGUGACCUCACAAUGACUCAAGCUACCACAUACUGUUGAUUGUGAAAUGCCAGUUGAAGCAUAUGUCCUGCGAGCUUAGGGGUGCUACAAGUUGACCACAGCAGCAGUAAAGAUGACUCUGAAGAAUGGCAUGGGAUGGAUCCUUUCGAAUGCAUUUGAGCAGCGGUCUCCAACCACAGGGCCACAGAGCUGGAGCUGGAUCUACCAUGAAAGACUUCUGAAUCCAGGAAGAGAGACUGACUGGGCAACAUGUUAUUCAGGGUCUCCCUCUGUUGUCCAAGGCUGGAGUGUAGUAGUGCUAUCGCAGCUGACUGCAGCCUCAACCUUCCAGGCUGAAGCGAUCCUCCCACCUCAACCUCCCACGUGGCUGAGACUACAGGUGCUUGCCACUAUGCCCAACUAAUAUUUGGAAUUUUCGUAUACGUGGAUUCCAGAGGGGUGACAGCGAAACGUGGGACCAUCCAGUUGCAGGAAAACAAGCUUAACAUGCCCACUGAUUCUACA
rnacentral:lncRNA from 1 species